GGUGGCUCAGUGGUAGAGUGCUUGCCUUGCAUGCAUGAGGCCUUGGGUCCAAUUCCUCAGCACCA
rfam:Dipodomys ordii contig_50604, whole genome shotgun sequence.